UACGUAAGCAGCGAGCGUUGUUCGGAAUUACUGGGCGUAAAGAGUGUGUAGGCGGUGCUCCCAGUCUGUUGUGAAAUCUCCCGGCUUAACUGGGAGGGUGCAGCGGAAACUAGAGUGCUAGAGGGUGGGAGAGGUAAGCGGAAUUCCUGGUGUAGCGGUGAAAUGCGUAGAUAUCAGGAGGAACACCUGUGGUGUAGACAGCUUACUGGACCACUUCUGACGCUGAGACACGAAAGCGUGGGUAGCAAACAGG
rnacentral:rRNA from 1 species